rnacentral:rRNA from 1 species
CCCUUUGAUACUCUGGGCCGCACGCGUGCUACACUGAGUGGAUCAGCGGGUCAGGUUGCGCGAAAGCGUUUCCUAAUCUUUAAAUCCGCUCGUGAUGGGGAUUGACGGUUGCAAUUUUCUGUCAUGAACGAGGAAUACCUUGUAAGCGCGGGUCAUCAUCCCGCGCUGAAUACGUCCCUGCCCUUUGUACACACCGCCCGUCGCUCCUACCGAUUGAGUGGUCCGGUGAGGCUUUGGGAUCUGAGCGGAAAGAGCGUUUCGCUGUUUCUGCUCGGAAAACUCAGUCGAACCUUAUCAUUUAGAGGAAGGAGAAGUCGUAACA